AGAACGAACGCUGGCGGCAGGCUUAACACAUGCAAGUCGAACGGUUGUAGCAAUACAGCAGUGGCAGACGGGUGAGUAACACGUGGGAACCUUCCUAGGGGUACGGAACAACUCAGGGAAACUUGAGCUAAUACCGUAUACGUCCGUAAGGAGAAAGAUUCAUCGCCCCUAGACGGGCCCGCGUAGGAUUAGGUAGUUGGUGAGGUAACGGCUCACCAAGCCUACGAUCCUUAGCUGAUCUGAGAGGAUGAUCAGCCAC
rnacentral:rRNA from 1 species